rnacentral:rRNA from 1 species
UCAUGAAAGCCGCUUGUACCCGAAGUCGUCGUGUUAACUCGCAAGAGAGACAGAUGCCGAAGGUAUGGGUGGUGAUUGGGAUG